rnacentral:antisense_RNA from 1 species
CUUGACCGAGCCGAGCCACAGCGGGCGGUCCUCGGGCCGUCCCUGCCCGUAGGUGGCGAGCAGGGCCCCGGCCUC